rnacentral:rRNA from 1 species
UCCCAGACUCCUACGGGAGGCAGCAGUGAGGAAUAUUGGUCAAUGGGCGGGAGCCUGAACCAGCCAAGCCGCGUGAGGGAAGAAGGUACAGCGUAUCGUAAACCUCUUUUGUCAGGGAACAAAGGCGGGGACUAGUCCCCGGAUGAGGGUACCUGAAGAAAAAGCAUCGGCUAACUCCGUGCCAGCAGCCGCGGUAAUACGGAGGAUGCGAGCGUUAUCCGGAUUUAUUGGGUUUAAAGGGUGCGUAGGCGGUUUGAUAAGUUAGAGGUGAAAUGUCGGGGCUCAACCCCGAAACUGCCUCUAAUACUGUUGGACUAGAGAAUAGUUGCGGUAGGCGGAAUGUAUGGUGUAGCGGUGAAAUGCUUAGAGAUCAUACAGAACACCGAUUGCGAAGGCAGCUUACCAAACUAUAUCUGACGUUGAGGCACGAAAGCGUGGGUAGCAAACAGGAUUAGAUACCCCUGUA